rnacentral:rRNA from 1 species
GGAUUAGAUACCCUGGUAGUCCACGCCGUAAACGAUGGUCACUAGCUGUUUGGACUUCGGUCUGAGUGGCUAAGCGAAAGUGAUAAGUGACCCACCUGGGGAGUACGUUCGCAAGAAUGAAACUCAAAGGAAUUGACGGGGGCCCGCACAAGCGGUGGAGCAUGUGGUUUAAUUCGAUGAUACGCGAGGAACCUUACCAGGGCUUAAAUGCAGAACGACCGGGGUGGAAACACCCCUUUCUUCGGACGGUCUGCAAGGUGCUGCAUGGUUGUCGUCAGCUCGUGCCG